GCCCAUAGCAAUUGCAAGUUGACAAACGAACACUAUGCACCAAGGAAUUUGGUGACGAAAUACGCAGAAAACGCGGCGAACAGCCCAGUACACACGACUUCCAGCCCG
rnacentral:ribozyme from 1 species